AAGUGAAAGAUAAGUUCUAUAGAACUGUGAUUAGGCUAGCUAUGUUAUAUGAGAAUGAACAAUAGAUAAUAUUAUGAAUAAGCAUAUCAACCAGAGAGUGCAUAUAGUAUUCAUUAGGGAUAAAAUAAGAAAGGGUUGAUUAAGAUGAUUUGAUCAUAUCUAAUGUAGAGCACUGAACACCCCAAUACGAAAAUGUAAUAAGUUAGUGGUGAAAGGAGUGGAAAGGGAAAUGGGAGACCCAAAAUGACAUGGAGAGAAGUAGUAUCAAAAGAU
rnacentral:misc_RNA from 1 species